rnacentral:rRNA from 1 species
CGGAGGGUGCAAGCGUUGUCCGGAUUUAUUGGGUUUAAAGGGUGCGUAGGCGGCCCGUUAAGUCAGUGGUGAAAGCCCAUAGCUCAACUAUGGAACUGCCAUUGAUACUGACGGGCUUGAGUACAGACGAGGUAGGCGGAAUUGAAGAUGUAGCGGUGAAAUGCAUAGAUAUCUUCAAGAACACCGAUUGCGUAGGCAGCUUACUAGGCUGUAACUGACGCUGAGGCACGAAAGCGUGGGGAGCGAACAGGAUUAGAUACCCUGGUAGUCCACGCUGUAAACGAUGAUUACUCGAUGUCGGCGAUAAACUGUCGGCGUCUUAGCGAAAGCGUUAAGUAAUCCACCUGGGGAGUACGCCCGCAAGGGUG